CUACGGGGUGCUGCAGUGAGGGAUUUUGCGCAAUGGGGGAAAACCCUGACGCAGCAACGCCGCGUGAGUGAAGAAGGCCUUUGGGUCGUAAAGCUCUGUCAACUGGGAAGAAGUUACAGAUAUCGAACAGGUAUAUGUAUUGACGGUACCAGUGAAGGAAGCAUCGGCUAACUCCGUGCCAGCAGCCGCGGUAAUACGGGGGAUGCAAGCGUUAUUCGGAAUUAUUGGGCGUAAAGGGCGCGCAGGCGGUCUUGUCGGUCAGAUGGGAAAGCCCGGGGCUCAACCCUGGAAGUGCAUUUGAAACAGCAAGACUUGAGUACGGGAGAGGAAAGCGGAAUUCCUGGUGUAGAGGUGAAAUUCGUAGAUAUCAGGAGGAAUACCGAUGGCGAAGGCAGCUUUCUGGACCGAUACUGACGCUGAGGCGCGAAGGCGUGGGUAGCGAACGGGAUUAGAUACCCUCGUAGUC
rnacentral:rRNA from 1 species